GCCUCUUUAGCUCAGUUGGCAGAGCGCUGCACUGGAAUCGCAGGGCCGCAGGUUCUAUUCCUGCCAGAGGAC